rnacentral:rRNA from 1 species
UACAGAGGUCCCAAGCGUUGCUCGGAAUCACUGGGCGUAAAGGGUGCGUAGGCGGGUCUUUAAGUCCGGGGUGAAAUCCUGGAGCUCAACUCCAGAACUGCCUUUGAUACUGAAGAUCUUGAGUUCGGGAGAGGUGAGUGGAACUGCGAGUGUAGAGGUGAAAUUCGUAGAUAUUCGCAGGAACACCAGUGGCGAAGGCGGCUCACUGGCCCGGUACUGACGCUGAGGUGCGAAAGCGUGGGGAGCAAACAGG